rnacentral:lncRNA from 1 species
GACUGAAAAUGCAAAGUGCACAAGAGUCUCUGGCCAGGACAGGCAUUGAAGGUCAGCUUGUUCUCCUCCUGGGGAAGCAGGACUGUGAUCUGGGUGGGUGACAGCCUGGGUGAGGAGAGACUCCCACACAGGAGUCAUCAGCCACAGCAUCCACUGUGCAGAACCUCAAAAUGUGUCCCAUGCCCCCUCUGAAUUGAGCAUAAACUUGGACACAUCAAGUCCGCUUCCUUAGACUCAGAGCCCCUAUAGCACAUAUACGCACGAUCUCCAAGGAGAAGUACACAGUAUUAGAUGAGUUCAGCUUACCUUUCGGCUAUUAACAAUUAAUUCGUGCUGCCAUUGUGUUUUUAUAAAAAAGACUUUCUUUUCCACCUCUCUCCCAUUCAUCAUGUUCCAUAGAGCUCAGCUCUGUGAUCAGGAAACCAAUUGUAAAGUCCAGAAUGAGGACACGGGCUCUACAUGGUGUGGAAUGGCAGUGAGACGGGCUAGGACUUCAGAACUCAACUGAUCACACACAGGAGGGAGAAGAACAACCAAGCUGGGCUUCAAGAUGCCUUAUUUGGACACUAGUUUUUGAUGUGUCUCUGAUGGUUAUUAACCAGACAUUUCAAGGGCAAGAAACUAUUUCCCCAAAACUACCUUUUGAGACAUUUCCAGGGGCUGCCCUGUCCUCUCUGUCCAGAGACUCAGCCCCGACUCACCUCCUCUAGGAAGUCUCCCACACGGACCUCGCUCUGCUCCCUCCUCCUCACGGCUGACCCUGCUGGGUCGUCCUGCCAGCUCGGACACUUGUUUGUUGUGGCUUUUGUAAAAUACUCUGUAGUCAU